UUUUUUUUCAGUUUUAAGUGAUCCUAUACGUAAAGAAGAGUAUGACAAGAAAGGAAUGCUAUACCUCUAUGAUUACAACAUCGUUUAAACCGUUUUUUAUAUAAUGAACGCCUCGCGUAUGUGACGUGCGUGCCUCACGCAUCAGCUUUUGGGAUCAAAAUGCAAAACACUUCAACUUUUAGGAUAAAAAAAAUAUUGAAGCGCCUCACGCUUUUAAAACCGAGAAUAAAAGUAGUGAUGGGAUAAGUAUAUUAUAUGUUUGGGCCUGGCCUAUAAGGGAACAAAUAUGUAUUUCGAAGUUACAUUUAACAUUCUCAUAUUUUCAAUUUUCAUUGAUAUAAAUGUUAUUGCAUG